rnacentral:rRNA from 1 species
GACGAACGCUGGCGGCGUGCUUAACACAUGCAAGUCGAACGCUGAACCCGCUUCGGUGGGGGAUGAGUGGCGAACGGGUGAGUAACACGUGGGCAACCUGCCCCCGGCUCUGGGAUAACUCCAAGAAAUUGGGGCUAAUACCGGAUGUGACCGCUGGCCGCAUGGUCUGGUGGUGGAAAGGGUUUCCGGCUGGGGAUGGGCCCGCGGCCUAUCAGCUUGUUGGUGGGGUAGUGGCCUACCAAGGCGACGACGGGUAGCCGGCCUGAGAGGGUGACCGGCCACACUGGGACUGAGACACGGCCCAGACUCCUACGGGAGGCAGCAGUGGGGAAUAUUGCGCAAUGGGCGGAAGCCUGACGCAGCGACGCCGCGUGGGGGAUGGCGGCCUUCGGGUUGUAAACCUCUUUCAGCAGGGACGAAGCGCAAGUGACGGUACCUGCAGAAGAAGCACCGGCCAACUACGU